GACGGUAUAGCUCCGUGGUAGAGUGCGUGCUUCGCAUGCACAAGGUCUUGGGUUCAAUCCCCAGUACCUCCA
rnacentral:tRNA from 1 species